AAGCCCUGGAGACAAAGCCAAGCCCAAGUGCCCCUGGGUCUGCGUUCCAGGAGAGAGACCCAAAACAAAUAAACAAAGGGGAAAACUGAGGCUCGGAGAGCCGAGUGCCGUGGUUAAGGAUGCGUGGAACGUAUGUGGCAGAGGGACUCUCAAACCCGGGUGCCCCCAACACCUGGAGGGCCAGCCCGUUCUGACGCCGGUGACAGAGGCAGAACCCCCUUCCCAGCCCUGAGUCUCCUCCCUGGUCAUCAUCCUGGUCACGCCAGCUAGUGUCCGGCUGAAUGGACGUGAGCCCUGGAGGGCAGGGCCAGCUGUCCCUCCUCUGAGCGCCCCCCCCCCAGAUGGGGGAAGUUCUGCACGAGGGUGAGGGAAGAAGUGGGCAAACUUCACCUGCAGCCCCGGCCCCAGAGCGGGCGCCGCCUUCCACACCCCUUCAGCCGGCUUUGGUGUCGUGCUCAGCUGGUUAAGGACACCAGCCGUUCUCCGGAAGACUUACAAGGAGGAUUAUUCCUGAGUGCUUGCCACAUGCCGGGGAUGGAGGCUGGCGGGGACAGGCUCUCCUCUGUGUCCUCACAAUGACACGGUAAAGAGGGCAGUAACGGUAGUCAUGGAGGCAUGGGGGCGGGUGUCCCUGCCACCCCCCCAGGAAGUAGAGCAGGACUUAGGACGUGGCUCCUAUAGCAUAAUUAAAUGCCCACGUGACCACCUGGAUGGACACGGCUGCUGGAAAGGCCCCUCCAGGUGUGCGGCCGUCACCCCCAACCGCUCCCGUGGCAUUCAUCUGUACGUUAUAGAGAGGCUCUUACGGCUGCGCAGGGCAAAGCACCAAAAGGACUCGUAAAGCUCGUCUGAUGAUUUGGGGUUUCAAGCGCUGGAGGUCAAUACAUCUGAGUGCCACAGCCCUCAGCUCUGCACACAUGACGUCGGCUGAGAUUAAAUGCAUCCAACACCUUCGGUGGACGUACUUCCUCCUCCGGCCGGUCAUUUUACAGCCCCGUGCUCCCUGGAUCCAGCUGUCACAGGAAGGCGAGGCCAGGGUUUUCAUGAGUCCCCCUUGACCAGACUCCCUUCAAGGGUGAGGGGCCACGGGCUGAAAAAUGACUCCAGGGGCACAACAGCCUGCUGGGCACCCCGGGAGGCCCUCUGUCCAGCUGCAGGCGUGGCCACACAUCACACAGAGCCGUCAGCCCCAGCCCAUAGCGACCAGACCUGAGACUAUCGAAUUUGAGGCAAAUGUGCAGGGUUUCGAUGUGGGAGAUUUAUGACCAUGCCAGAC